UGACCUGAUGCUCCUAAAAGUGGCACAAGAAGAAGAGUGUAAGGCAGAAGGAAGAGAGGAAGACCAAAGAGAAGAGACGGGAAGGCUGCUGUGAAGACUUGCUCAAGGAAAAGGACAAAGCAAGAAGGAAUUCUUCAAUCAGUAAUGGUGACCUGGUGCUCCUAAAGUGGCUGGCAGGGACAAGUGCAUAAGAAGGGGAGUGGAACCUAAGACUUCAUUCCUCUGUCUCUGCCCUGUUGAUUGUGACAGCGUGAAGUGAACAGCUGCACCAUGCUUUCCUGUCCGUCACAUGUAGAGCAUUGAGGACAAGAGGUAGAUGCAAUAGUGUACUUUUUUCCAGUGUGAGAGAAUGUAUAUCAGGAGACAGUGUUGCAUAGUCUAAAGGAACAGUGUGGUGAGACUCCUGCAGUACUGAGAUCAUUGUUUUCAUCAUGUGUAGUGUGUUCAGGACAGGAGGUAGAUGUAAUGGUGUAGUUUUUCCAGUGUGAGAGAAUGUAUAUCUGGAGAGAGUGUUGUGUAGUCUAGAGGAACAGCAUGGUGAGACUCCUGCAGUAUUGAGAUCAUUGCUCUCGUCAUAUGUAGCGUGUUCAGGACAGGAGGUAGAUGUAAUGGUGUAGUUUUUCCAGUGUGAGAGAAUGUAUAUCUGGAGAGAGUGUUGUGUAGUCUAGAGGAACAGCGUGGUGAGACUCCUGCAGUAUUGAGAUCAUUGUUUUUGUCACAUGUAGCGUGUUCAGGACAGGAGUUAGAUGUAAUGGUGUAGUUUUUCCAGUGUGAGAGAAUGUAUAUCUGGAGAGAAUGUUGUGUAGUCUAGAGGAACAGCGUGGUGAGACUCCUGCAGUAUUGAGAUCAUUGCUCUCGUCAUAUGUAGCGUGUUCAGGACAGGAGGUAGAUGUAAUGGUGUAGUUUUUCCAGUGUGAGAGAAUGUAUAUCUGGAGAGAGUGUUGUGUAGUCUAGAGGAACAGCGUGGUGAGACUCCUGCAGUAUUGAGAUCAUUGUUUUUGUCACAUGUAGCGUGUUGAGGACAGGAGUUAGAUGUAAUGGUGUAGUUUAUCCAGUGUGAGAGAAUGUGUAUCAGGAUAGUGUUGUGUAGUCUAGAGGAACAGCGUGGUGAGACUCCUGCAGUACUGAGAUCAUCGUUUUCUUCAUAUGUAGCGUGUUGAGGACAGGAGGUAGAUGUAAUGGUGUAGUUUAUCCAGUGUGAGAGAAUGUAUAUCAGGAUAGAGUGUUGUGUAGUCUAGAGGAACAGCGUGGUGAGACUCCUGCAGUAUUUUGAGCAUUGUUUUCGUCAGUCGUAACUCGUGUUUCUUAGGUGGCUUCUACUUAGCGUCUCUCAUGACAAAGUGCCUUCAGUCCUAAGUGCUCAAUACCUCCCUUUCCCCGGCAAAUGUACGCCUCAAAUAUAUGACUUCAAGGAAAGGUUGUUUUAUUCAAGUGCCAUCAAAGUGCCAGUUUUACAGUCCAGUACGGCAAGUUUGUAAGCUCCCCAACCUAACACAAAAUACUAUGAAAAUUCCUUGUAGCUCUCGUGCUUGGUGUUGAUAUAGAAGGAGGAGCGAAUUUUAGGAAACUACACAGGAAGUCUCUUUAUUAGUAUCUGGUAUUGAGUAGAGGUAACGGAUCAUUGUGGUGGAUAUGGUUUGGUUUGGGCGCUUACAAGGACUAUCUGGAUCUGGAUACAUGAUGCGCAGGGCACCCGUACAGCUGCAGAACACGCAUAGUUGUGUUGGCUGCUGCGGGGACGGGGGUGCCGAGUGUGCAAGGGAGGGAAGUGAACCAAGUGUAGUAAUUGUUAGUGUUGGUGUGUUGUGGUGACAAGUGAGUAUGUAUUUGUUUUCUGAAUGAGUCUAUUGUGCUGCAGUCUAAAAUCUGAUGAGGGAGGCUGAUCCAGUCAUGUAUGGUGCGUGGAAAGUAUGAGUGCUUGUAUGCGUCAGUGUUAGUGUGAUAUGUUUGGUAUUUAUGGAUGUGUGUGUUAUGAGUACGUUGACUGUUUGCCUUGUGUAAGUAUGUACGUGGGUAAUUGUCAGUGUGAGUGUUUGUGAUCUUGUACAUAAGUGUAAGUCUGUGUGAUUGUCUGCGUAUGUGAAGAGGUUCCAUGUUUAUCUGUUGUUUGAUCCGUGUUUUGAUUCCAGGCGUUCGAGUGUAAUUGUUUGUAAUGAACCUUGCCGCCU